GAAAAAUGGCAUUAGUUUGAAACAACCAUUUCGUUGGUUGAAAUUCAAACUAAGAAUUUGAUUGUUUCAAAUUAUAUUUUUGUUGACGCAAAGUUGAAUUUUUUAUUGAAUCAAACAUAAUAUUUAGUCAACAUCAACCUAAGAAACAAUUUUAUUUUAAAUUAAAAUUUGUUUGUUUUGAGCUGACACGUUAUUUGUUUUUAACAAACAUUUACAUUGCUUUAAACAAAAUCUGGGUUAAUGUUUCCACUGCCACUAACGAAAUUUGUUAAUUUGCUAAGGAUAGUUUGUUACAUUAGUCAUUGAUUCUUAAAUUAUAUAUUUUUCGUUAAUUAUUGUCGCAGUUUGAAAGUGCAAAUCAAGUAAUUUGAACCGCAAUGUGUUGUUUUGUGUAAAUAAUACAAGUAGAUUUUGAUUUCAGAGUUUUUCACCACUUAUUCACAGCAUGAAAAACGAAACGGUCAAUGUUUCUACCAACGCCAUAUUUCACAGAAACGACCAGAAUAUCCGCUUGUAUUCCAUGCAUAAUAUAGAAUGUUCGCCAUCAAUUAAAAAACUCAAUUUCAGAGCGCCUAAGGUGUGGUCAAAAUCCUUUCCGGUUAUCAGGAGCUUUGGCGGCCAUGUACAGCAAAAACAUAAUAUAUUAUGCAUAGAUCAGCGCCGGAUGUUAAUUAUAUUUUAGAAAUGCGGAUUAACCUUACAAUUUAUUAAUCUAAAUAAAGAAGUAAGAUAUUUUGCUUA